rnacentral:rRNA from 1 species
CCUACGGGAGGCAGCAGUGGGGAAUAUUGCGCAAUGGGCGAAAGCCUGACGCAGCCACGCCGCGUGAGGGAUGAAGGUCUUCGGAUUGUAAACCUCUUUCAGCAGGGACGUACGGUACCUUUGCUAAUAAGCAGUGAAUGGACGGUAUCUGUCAAGGAAGCACCGGCUAACUCCGUGCCCGCCGCUGCGGUAAUACGGCGGGUCCGUGCGUUAAUCGGAUUUACUGGGCGUAAAGCGAGCGUAGGCGGUAUGGCAAGUCCAGGGUGAAAUCCCCGCGCUCAACGUGGGAACUGCCUUUGAGACUGGCAAACUGGAGUGUGUGAGAGGAUGGUGGAAUUCCAGGUGUAGAGGUGAAAUCCGUAGAUAUCUGGAAGAACACCGGUGGCGAAGGCGGCUAUCUGGCACUUAACUGACGCUGAGGAGCGAAAGCGUGGGUAUCAAACAGGAUUAGAUACCCGGGUAGUC